GACGAACGCUGGCGGCGUGCUUAACACAUGCAAGUCGAACGGAAAGGCCCUGCUUUUGUGGGGUGCUCGAGUGGCGAACGGGUGAGUAACACGUGAGUAACCUGCCCUUGACUUUGGGAUAACUUCAGGAAACUGGGGCUAAUACCGGAUAGGAGCUCCUGCUGCAUGGUGGGGGUUGGAAAGUUUCGGCGGUUGGGGAUGGACUCGCGGCUUAUCAGCUUGUUGGUGGGGUAGUGGCUUACCAAGGCUUUGACGGGUAGCCGGCCUGAGAGGGUGACCGGCCACAUUGGGACUGAGGUACGGCCCAGACUCCUACGGGAGGCAGCCGGGGGGAAUAUUGCACAAUGGGCGGAAGCCUGAUGCAGCAACGCCGCGUGCGGGAUGACGGCCUUCGGGUUGUAAACCGCUUUCGCCUGUGACGAAGCGUGAGUGACGGUAAUGGGUAAAGAAGCACCGGCUAACUACGUG
rnacentral:rRNA from 1 species